rnacentral:lncRNA from 1 species
UACUUCGGUAGCUCAAUGAUCUUUGUUCCUAUCCAUAUUCUAAAUUCUAUUUCUGUCAUUUCAGCUAUUUCUGCCUGGUUCAGAACCCCUGCUAGAGAGGUGAUGCAGUUGUUUGGAGUUGAGUCACUCAGUCAUCGCUAAGGACUCAUUAGCUGGUUAAUGAGAAGCACUGUAUGGAGAGAAAACUGUGCGCCUGCCAACUGCCUGCCGAAGGACCUGGGCUUUAAUUUUCUUGCCAUUUCAAUCCCAAUCUUUCUUUAGGAGACUGAUGAUAAGGUUCGGAGUGGACUCUUUGUUUGAUGGCUUUCUAAUAUGGAGACAGUUCCAAGAGAGCCAGGAUUAAAUUGGCCAACUUCAUGCACAUGUGUGACCCAACCCAAAUUACAGUCCAGGUGGCUGGUGGUGAAAGCCAACUCAUUAACCUACAGUGACACCUGUUCAUCUGACACACCUUUCCUGAGCUCAAAAGGUCUAUUUCUUUUGAAAUAUUUAUGGCUCUGAAACUAAAGGUCAUUCCAUUCUUGUCUUUAACUUCACAUGAUGGUUAAAACAGACACUUAAAAUAAUAAAAUCACCUUUAAAGGCAGAGAAGAAACAUACAAAGAAGUGUCCUUUCUGUCAGGACAGAAAGAAAAUAAAAUGUGCAUAUAGCAUCCUGAAAGAAAAAUCUUAACCCAAUUUUAAGUGGGAGUUUUAUUCAAAUAUCCAAAUGACAGUUUCUAUGGCACAUCUUCAAUUUGUUCAUAGUAACCAAAUUGAACAUAUUGCCUUAUUCUGUUAUGUGUAUGUAUGUCCUCUUGGCUGCCAAACUCUGGAGAGCUCAAAACAAGUGUGCAAGCAAAACUGAAAGAGGUUAAUAUCACAAGAGAACCUGCCACUUAUAAAGGUCUUCUCUGUGUUGAUUCUCAGAGACAUGUUAAUGGUCAAUUUAAUAAAAAUAAUUUAGUAAUUUUUUGCCUGACACUUUAGAUUUAAUUUUUUAAUUAAAAUAACAUAUAAUAAACAGACAAAGAUUUUGUCAUUUUAGAUAAAGUUAGUAACUUUGGCUUUGGUUUUCCUUCUGGUUCCUCAGUGCUUUUUUGCAGUGUUUACCUAUCUGUGGUCUCAUGUCUUUCCCAUUAAUUCAUUGAAAUUGCUGUCAUCAUGUUUGUUAUUAAAUUCAAGUGACAUUUCUCAGUUCUUAACCUAUUUGACCUCUUAUUUAUCCAGCCAAAAAAUAUAUACCAAAUAGCUACUAAGUGCCAGGCACUGCAUUUAGAUGAUAGGAAUAAAUGCUGAAGUAGACAUAUAAAGUCCCUACAGUUGUGGCAUUUACAGUGGAAUAGGAGAGCUUAAUAUUAAACAGUUACAUAAACAAUUAUUCAAUUACAAUAUGAUUAAUGAUACAAAGAACAAAUAUAGCGUGCAAUAAGAGCAUAUAAAUGAAAAAUAUAAUUUAGUUGGAUAUGUCAGGGAAAUGUCCCUGAGAAAAAGACAGCUAACCUUAAUAUUAAAACUUAUUUACUCAAAAAUAAGUGUGCGAAACUGUAUAGUUAACUUAUCUUCAAUUCAGUCAAUCUAAAACAUCAACUAAAUAAUGUAUUCACAGAUAUACCACACAAUGACAGUUAGUGUUCGUAAUGAUAAUCUUGGAUGAGAAAAGAGCCUACAGGGUCUUUUAGAUCAUCACAGUUAAAUUAUACUUGGCUAAUAUAGUUUGAAUAUUUAGUACAAUUUCAUGUUCAAAACUUCUGAAACACUUUUAUUCACAUGUAGACCAUAUAAUACUUAUAUUAUAGUAGACCAUCCUAUUUCACAAUCAAAUUAUACAACAGUAUACUAAAUUAUCAUAUCAGUUUUUUGUUUCUUUAAUAGUUGCUAAUAUAUGUGUAUAGUUGUGAACAUACCUGUAUAUGUGUAUGUGAUAUGUAUAUAUAUCAACUGUAUAGUUAAAACACCACAUGUAUAGAAGAGACCAUCUGACUAGUAUUUAAGCUUAGCCAUGAGAAUGGAAUUUGGAAGAUGAAGAAUGUGACCUGGAGGAAAGAAGAAAAUGAUUACAGAGGGGCAUUUGAGAGUGAGAGGAUAGAGAAGAGAGAAAGAGGUUGAGGAAAGAAGAUAUCAGAGUCCCCUCACUGCCCUCCCCAUUAACACACUCAAGGCUAAGCUAGUGAGGGGAGAGUAUCUUUGGGAUACUGGACAAAAUAUGGAAUUCCAAGAACCAGGAAGCUUUUGUCUUAUUCUAAAAGGAUAUAACUUGCAGGCUGUCUCCAGAUCAAUUGAGUGGUAGAUCCAUAUUACAAAUAAACAUGAUAGCAGAGUGUGAUUAGGCAGAAGAAGGUGCAUCUCAGCACCUCCUUCUGUGUAAUGUGGAAAUGAGCAGCUAUUGUAGUGGGAAUGAGCAACUCCACAGUAAAGGCAUUAGGCUGUGCCAUCUGGGCAGUGGAUGACAGAGAUAUCAGUGUGUGGCUGGGGUCUGAAGCCUGUUCAGGGUCAAGAUGAGCCUAAGUCAUCCAGAAAGGCUGAUGAAAUCAGCAAAAGUCAGCCAGACAAAGGGCACUGUCAAGGCCAUCAUAUGGCUCUAAGCAUCCCUUUUCCCACCUCCUCAAGAGCACCAAGAAAGACACCAACAUCCAUUGCCAAUUUCCUUCUCCUUGCCAGUAGGGAGGCUGAAAAAAAACAGAUACUCUCUUUCUAUUAAUAUAUCUUCCUUAUAGAGUAGGAUGGAUAUUUGGCUAAGUAUUGAUCAAUAAGAUAAAGUGGAAUUUGCUGGGUGGUGGGCGGGGGUCCUUUGUGUAAUAAUUUUGUGUCUUGAUAAAGUAGGAAUAUGGCUGGGACCAUCCCUGACUCUCUUUUUUCCUUGAAUGUGAACACAUGAGUGAAGCAUACAUCCAUUGUCCAUGGGGCAAGAAACAUGAGGAUGAAAAGCCAAUAUGUUAAGGACAUGAAGUGAAAAGCGGGAAGAGCUUCUUAUUCAUGUUAUCACUGAGCAGCGGGAACUGGGGGCUCUGCUCAUUAUAGUUGCCCACGGCCUCCAGUCAAUGAAAUUUCCGGCCAAUGAAAUGCUCUACUGUGACUGAAGCAGCAAAGAGAAGAUGGGUGGCUUUGAAAUCAGAAUUGGAUGCAGAGGGAGUCCCAGAGGCCAACACUGUGAACAUAAGAAGGGAAAGACCAGUUCUGCAAGCACAGAUGUAAUUUUGAGAAGCAGAGCUACAGUUCUGCCGGAGGCCUCUCCAGAUUGUGAUGCACUGGGAGCAAGCCACCAUGAACAUAUCCUCAGGUCUCCAGUCUUCUGCCAUCGCAUGAAAAAUGGAGCUUGUCAAACACAGAGCAGAGCUGAACUUUCUGAAUUCCACAGGACAGUUCAGAGUGCUUGGAAUGACACCCACCUGCAAUUUAAACAAAAAAGAAGGAUGAUUUGCUGCUACAUUUGUGUGGGAAGUGCUGCUUGCCGAUAGGGAAGUAGGAGAGGAAAUAAGGAAAACAAUAAACCAAGUACAGUUUUGCAAAUACCCAGACACAUUGGAUGGACACAGAAGCUUUCACUGGGAGAUUAUGAAGGGUAGAUGCUUUGUGUCUCCAUUGCCUCCUGUGAUGUGACCUCACAUUACAAGCCACUGUGGUUGGAACUGCUGGCAAAAUGGAAAGAACCAGGAAGAACAUCAAAGGAGAGUUUUAAAAGGAUAUGAAAUGUAUUAAUUUGUCGUAAUUAUCUACUUUUGAUAGAAGAAUCUCAGAGGUACUUAAGUUGAUGUCUUGGACCUUCAGUCCAGUGCUGACAUCUUGUAAAAUGUCUUAAGUUCCUACCAGGUAAUUUCUGCUUUCUGUCACAAAGCAGGAGAGAAGUUCCAGGAGGAAGUCAUGUAUUUUUCUCAUCUUUAGGUAUAUUAUAUGUAUACCCCAUAUUUCCCUAUAUUAUACUUACACAUAUAUUUAUGUUACACUUUCUAUUUCUCUUAUUUACGUACAUUAUUAACAAAAAAUUUUUGGAAGAUUGUAGAAAUAAGACAUGUAGGCAUUUGAAAUUUUGUGAGAAAGAGCAUGUCAGAUUUGGGAGUUAGGGAUUUUUAGACAUUGCCAUAAGAGGUAAGUAAAUGCUGACACCUUGCCUAUAGUUAAUAAAAAUAUAUUAUACAUUUGAAGUUUUCUAAGAGAGUAGAUUUAAAAUUUUCUCACUAUACACACACACAAUAUAUAUAUAACUAUGUUAGGUGAUUAACGUUAAUUAGCUUGAUUAUGGUAAUCAUUUCACAACAUAGACAUAUAUCAAAACAUCACAUUGUAUGCUUUGAAUACAUACCAUUUUUAUUUGUCAACCAUUCCCCAAUAAAGCUGGAAAAAACAAGACUUCAUUCCUGUCAAAUCUACUUCUCAGGGACCUACUCCAAGGGAGUCGCCAUUCCUUCAUUUUAUUAUUAAAUUGCUUCUUCAUAGAAAACCUAUCUUCGGUGAAAAAAUUAGACUCCAGAAAUGAUAUUUUGCCAGAAACAUCUCUAAAAGCCUUUUUAUCUCCCUGAUGAACUCAAUGUAGCUAUGGAAAUUUGAAUUCCCUAUCUGGGGUCAGCUUCAGAAAUGUGUUUAUUUAUGUGCUUCGAAUUGACUUAUCAACUAAUGAACCAAGAAACAAUUUUUCUUUUGGCUGUGUUUUAAAAGGGUCUUGCUCAAAUUUUAAAGGUUGGGGCAUUUUAGAGUCAGAUUUGUUUCAUAAUUUUUCUAUGUAACAUAUUCACUUCCCAUUAAAAUGUAAUUUUCCCUACCAAUAAGGUGUUAGGCUUCUGAUCCCUCAGGGGAACUGUGGUUGACAUGAGCAUUACCUCAUCCAAAUGUAUGUUCCCAGUGAACCUGUCAUCGAGUGGACUUGAUGCCUUCAUUUUUUCCUUUUGUAGCAAGAUGCCUAACUGGUUACUUAUGCAAGCAUUGUUAUUGAAAUUAGGGGGAGUAAGGGGAAUAAAAAAUGUAUGGAAAUUAUGAGUGUUAGAACUGAGCACAAUCAUUGCAGCAUCUGAUGCAGACAUUUCAGGGUAAGCGAAGUAGUCUCUUCAGAAUAAAAAUGAGGGUAAUUAGACUCAAUUCAUUUAUUCAACACUUGGGUCAAGUCCAUGAACUCUACAAAGAUAACUGUGCCAUGGAUUUUGCUCUCUAGAGUGGUAAGACACGUAUAUGGUUUGUCUACUCAUUCAGCAAACACUUUCUGGGCAUGUUUUGUCUCCUGAGGUCAGCUCUGGAGAUACAAUGGUACAUGGCACAAAUCUUUGCAAGUGCUAAAUAUAAUACCUGAUAUUAAUAGGCUGUGAGUGAAGAGCACAAAAUGUGUAGUGGGUGUUCCUGGGAUACAGUAGCUCUGUGCAUGUAGAAGGGAUUAGUAAGGGCCUCGUGAAGGAGACAGCAUUUGUUCUGGGACUUGAAGGAAAGACAGGAUUGGAAAUGUAGAGAUGCUAAGGAAGGUUGUCCUCAAUAGAGAAAAUGCCAUAGCUGAAGGCCCCUCAUAUGCUAUUCUUAUCUAACUAUGUGAUUCUAAGCUCAGGUGAUCCAAAGAGGCUCCUCAGAGUUGUGGCAAACUGAAGCCAGUGGUGUAGGUUGAAAGGAAUCUGAGAGAAGAUCAACACCCAGGAGAAUCUAAGGUCCCAUUGUGGGUGAAUCAUUUUGGGCCAUGUUUCAGAACAAAAUUUCCACAGACUCACUACCAAAUACUCAUGGACUUAUAUUUUUGGUUCAGAGGUUUGAUGAAAAACUCUGGAAGCCUAUUGCAGAGAACUGAAUAAGGUAAAAAUCUACCUUUUACUGGACACAUCGUUUAGGAAGCAAAUUAGUCUCCGUUAUCAGAAAGUUCCAAGGGGGAAUCUAAAAUGUGAUACUUUGCUCAGCAGCUGACAGUAUUUUUGCUACAUUUUCAACUUGCCUUCAAUUCUGUUUAUUUCGCUUGUCUAAUUUACUAUCUAGGUAAUUUAAACAAUGAGAAUACAGUGACCCGCAAUUUUCCUAAUUUAAAGGUAUCUCUUCUGCAAUAUUAAAUUUGCAUCUACAUUGCCUGCCUAACAAGACUGUCACCUCCUUGAGGUCAAUGUGAUGUUAUCUAAUUUUUUAGAUAACAUCUAUGUCUCUAAUAGAUCUAUCUGUGCAAUAGAACCAUACAGUCCUUCGUAGAUAGGGGAAGCACAAAUGUUGGUUAAUAUUUAACAGAGUAUCAGACCUGCAUCCUUCUCUCUAAGAGCUCAAACUUCAGAGAGUAGAUUCAGAGAGUAAAUGUUUUCCCAGGCUCAGGCAAGAGGGGUGGUUUGUAUGUUAUUUCUUUCUUAUUUUCCAGUUAGACUUUUGGAAAUCUGCCAGAUGCAAUUGAAAAACCCUGCUCAGCUUUGUCCAAUGUCUCAUUUGAGGAUCAGCAUGAGUUUGUUUACUUGAGAUUAACAGGAGUCAAGGAUAUACAAAUUCAGCAAUGUAUGGAUAACUUUCCCCUUUUUAACGCUGGCCUCACCACAAAACUACCACCAUAUUGUUGAAUUUUGGAAGUUUAUUAUGCUUUAUUUUUUCCUAUAAAAAAAUAAAUGUCAUCACAUUGUAAUAGUUUUAUAACCUGUUUUAUCAUAUUUUAAAAUACAUCUUGAAUAUUCUUUCAUAUAAUUAAUCUUCUACAGCAUAAUUUUAAUAUCUAUGAAGAUUCCAUUAUGUGCUUGUAUUAUACAUUUUUACUCUGAAUACAUUAUUGUUGUAAACAAUGCUUACAAUUAUGAAAAUAAAUAUAUAUGGCUCAUUUACACAUUAUUCUAAAUCUCAUUGUACUCUCCGGUUAGUCAUCAUUAAUGUCUUGAAGUUCACUGGUUUGGCAUUUUAUGUAUAUUUAUAUCUGU